rnacentral:rRNA from 1 species
CGCGGCCUAUCAGCUUGUUGGUGAGGUAACGGCCCACCAAGGCGACGACGGGUAGCCGGCCUGAGAGGGCGACCGGCCACACUGGGACUGAGAUACGGCCCAGACUCCUACGGGAGGCAGCAGUGGGGAAUAUUGCGCAAUGGGCGAAAGCCUGACGCAGCAACGCCGCGUGCGGGAUGAAGGCCUUCGGGUUGUAAACCGCUUUCAGCAGGGACGAAGGGUUACCUUGACGGUACCUGCAGAAGAAGCACCGGCUAACUACGUGCCAGCAGCCGCGGUGAUACGUAGGGUGCGAGCGUUGUCCGGAAUUAUUGGGCGUAAAGAGCUUGUAGGCGGUCUGUUGCGUCGGAAGUGAAAACUCAGGGCUUAACCCUGAGCCGGCUUUCGAUACGGGCAGACUUGAGGGAUGUAGGGGAGAACGGAAUUCCUGGUGGAGCGGUGGAAUGCGCAGAUAUCAGGAGGAACACCAGUGGCGAAGGCGGUUCUCUGGACAUUUCCUGACGCUGAGAAGCGAAAGCGUGGGGAGCAAACAGGCUUAGAUACCCUGGUAGUCCACGCCGUAAACGGUGGGCACUAGGUGUGGGAUCCUUCCACGGAUUCCGUGCCGUAGCUAAC